AGAGCGAACGCUGGCGGCAGGCCUAACACAUGCAAGUCGAGCGCCCCGCAAGGGGAGCGGCAGACGGGAGAGUAACACGUGGGAACGUACCCUUUGGUUCGGAACAACACAGGGAAACUUGUGCUAAUACCGGAUAAGCCCUUACGGGGAAAGAUUUAUUGCCAAAGGAUCGGCCCGCGUCUGAUUAGCUUGUUGGUGAGGUAACGGCUCACCAAGGCUACGAUCAGUAGCUGGUCUGAGAGGAUGAUCAGCCUCACUGGGACUGAGACACGGCCCAGACUCCUACGGGAGGCAGCAGUGGGGAAUAUUGGACAAUGGGCGCAAGCCUGAUCCAGCCAUGCCGCGUGGAUGAUGAAGGCCCUAGGGUUGUAAAGUCCUUUGACGGGGAAGAUAAUGACGGUACCGUAGAAGAAGCCCCGGACUAACUUCGUGCCAGCAGCCGC
rnacentral:rRNA from 1 species